rnacentral:misc_RNA from 1 species
GUAUUGUAUUGCGUUAAACGCGACAUACAUUCCAUGAGACUUCGUUACGGUGUGUGUGUAAAGACGUAGGACCACGGCAAGGGGACAGAGUCCCCAAGGCCACAGAACUACAGAGGGUGCACAGGUGUGAGUGGAUGUGCAAACAGAGCGUGCACGUGCCCCUUUUGGGGGGCCAGCGACAACUCGUGUCGACGGUUCGAUAAUGAUCCUUCCGCAGGUUCACCUACGGAAA